GACGAACGCUGGCGGCGUGCUUAACACAUGCAAGUCGAACGGUAAGGCCCUUCGGGGUACACGAGUGGCGAACGGGUGAGUAACACGUGGGUGAUCUGCCCUGCACUUCGGGAUAAGCCUGGGAAACUGGGUCUAAUACCGGAUAGGACCACUGCCUGCAUGGGUGGUGGUGGAAAGCUUUUGCGGUGUGGGAUGGGCCCGCGGCCUAUCAGGUUGUUGGUGGGGUGAUGGGCUACCAAGGCGACGACGGGGAGCCGGCCUGAGAGGGUGACCGGCCACACUGGGACUGAGAUACGGCCCAGACUCCUACGGGAGGCAGCAGUGGGGAAUAUUGCACAAUGGGCGCAAGCCUGAUGCAGCGACGCCGCGUGAGGGAUGACGGCCUUCGGGUUGUAAACCUCUUUCAGCACCGACGAAGCGCAAGUGACGGUAGGUGCAGAAGAAGGACCGGCCAACUACGUGCCAGCCGCCGCCGUAA
rnacentral:rRNA from 1 species